GGAGAGCUGAAGGUGGAGAUAGAGAGAAAGGAGGAGAGAGUCAAGUCUCUACAGGAACAGAUAGAGGCUGUUGAUGAACAAAGAAACCAGUCAGAAGAGAGAGGCAACAAAUUCAAACAGAUGCUGGUCAAAACUAAAAAGGAGCUUGCUGAUGCUAAGAAAUGGGAAACAGAACAGCGGUCCUCAGAUGCUCACCUUCGAGG